rnacentral:rRNA from 1 species
UACGUAGGGGGCAAGCGUUGUCCGGAUUUAUUGGGCGUAAAGAGCGUGUAGGCGGUCAGGUAGGUCCGUUGUGAAAACUCGAGGCUCAACCUCGAGACGCCGAUGGAAACCAUCUGACUAGAGUCCGGAAGAGGAGAGUGGAAUUCCUGGUGUAGCGGUGAAAUGCGCAGAUAUCAGGAGGAACACCGGUGGCGAAGGCGGCUCACUGGUCCGGUAGCUGACGCUGAGGCGCGAAAGCGUGGGGAGCGAACAGG